UACGAAGGGGGCUAGCGUUGUUCGGAAUCACUGGGCGUAAAGCGCACGUAGGCGGACGUUUCAGUCAGGGGUGAAAUCCCAGGGCUCAACCCUGGAACUGCCCUUGAUACUGGACGUCUCGAGUCCGGGAGAGGUGAGUGGAACUCCGAGCGUAGAGGUGAAAUUCGUAGAUAUUCGGAAGAACACCAGUGGCGAAGGCGGCUCACUGGCCCGGUACUGACGCUGAGGUGCGAAAGCGUGGGGAGCAAACAGG
rnacentral:rRNA from 1 species